GAUUUCUGAAAUUUAACCUGCUAGUAUAAAAAUUAAAUAAUAAUAAGAAACAAAUGCUGAUUAACACUUUUACAUGAUUUCAAUAUCUGUUUGAAUUUUUUUCGGCCACCAUUACUAAUGAAGUUAUUUGAAGUAUGAUUUAAUAUGAAUACACCUAGAAACCCAGUAGUCACUUACUUGCUGGAGAUUUUAAACUGAAAAGUGCAUGUGAGUAUAUGUGUAGGGUGGUAAUCACACUAAACUCAAUAUUAUGCAAAUUCAAAAUGCUGAUAACUCAAAAACUAUGGUUGCCAAAUUAUAAUUUCACAAUUGUUUUUGCCAAGUAAUUUUAUAAAGGUUUCAAAAAAAAAUUUCUCAUGUCAUAAUAUCCAACUUUGAAAUUCGCCAAAUAUAUAGAUGUUAAUGGCCUCUAAAUAUUUUUGAUUGUAAAUAGUCAAUACUAAUUACAAUUUACUAAAAUAAAAAUAAAAUACAUAGUUAUUUUUAAAUUUA